UUUUCACAGAGCCAUGAUGUCCAAAAGGAAGUCCAGGAUAAAGCCUGUCGAAGAUGCAAAGUCGUAAAUUCUGUCUUCGAGAGACAAGCCAUGGUUUGCAGAAAGAUUUAUCAACAAUAUCAAAGGAAGAGGAGUGUUUGCUACCCAACCAAUCGAGAAAGGUUCUUUUGUGUUGGAGUACAGGGGGGAAUUCAUAUCAGUGGAAGAAUGCCAAUCAAGGCACUACUCAGAGAUACAGAGUACAUUCCUGUAUGAAUUUGAUUGGCAGAAACGCAAGUGGUGUAUUGAUGCAUCCAAAGAAGAUGGUUCCCUUGGAAGGCUGUAAGCAAGAAGGCUUCUGCUGUGGCAGUAGAAGCAAACACCUUCCCUACAGUGCUGACUUCCCAUGAGGAUUCAAAGGGAGAUUAUGCUGGGGUACAGGUGACAUACAAGCAGACUUCUGCAGUGGAAGAAGAGACCGAUGUUCUUCCUGUUAAUCUGUCUUCCCAUGAUGAGGAUGAGGAUGCUAGC